rnacentral:rRNA from 1 species
UACGGAGGGAGCUAGCGUUGUUCGGAAUUACUGGGCGUAAAGCGCGCGUAGGCGGCUUUGUAAGUUAGAGGUGAAAGCCCGGGGCUCAACCCCGGAACUGCCUUUAAAACUGCAUCGCUUGAAUCCGGGAGAGGUGAGUGGAAUUCCGAGUGUAGAGGUGAAAUUCGUAGAUAUUCGGAAGAACACCAGUGGCGAAGGCGGCAUCCUGGACCGGCAUUGACGCUGAGGAGCGAAAGCUAGGGGAGCAAACGGG